ensembl:lncRNA
GUUUAUCGAGGUACUGUCCCAAAAUAAAAUACUUUUUUUUUGGUACUGGGGAUCAAACUCGGGACCUUGCGCUUGUGAGGCAGGCAGCGGAACCACUGAGCUAAAUCCCCAGCUCUAAUAAAAUAAUUUUUUAAAGGGCUGGAAGUGUUGCUCAAUGACAAGGCCCUGGAUUCAGUCCCUAGUACAAAAGCAAAAAGCGAGAAACAAAACAAGCCCAAUGGAAAAUGAAAGCUUCUUGAGUGCCGGAAGUGUGUCUUUCUUGUCAUUGAGGCCCACACCCUGUAUCCUGGAAUCCUCCGAAGUUAUUUCAGGCUCAGUUACCUGAGAUUAUUGCCUUUCCACCCCACAGAACCACUCGUACCUGAAAGAUUCUGAUUCACAGGACUUGGGGUGAGACUGGGAAGUAAUUUCCACAUGACAUUUGCCCUUUUGGAAUACAGCUGCCAUAUAAAGAAGUCUGAGGUAUCCUACUGGAAAGACCACGUGGAGAAGGGGGCCCCAGAUAACUGCUAGACAUGUGCAUGAGAUCAUCUUAGUUCCAACUGAACCCGAGCUGUUCCAAUGGAAAUGACAUCAUUGCAAAGUUGUUAAAAGCAUUAGCUCUGGGCCAAGGAUUUAGCUCAGUGGUUCUGCCGCCUGCCUCGCAAGCGCAAGGGCCCGAGUUUGAUCCCUGGUACCAAAAAAAAAAAAGCAUUAGCUCUGGACCCAGACCGACUGGAUUCGAGUCCUUACAUUACUGUUUAUUAGCUAUAUCACUGUGAGUUUAUAAAUCAACCUUUCCAUAGUUACUUAUGGUUUGAUGGGGAUAAAAUCAUGGAAUUCAGUUUGCUAACCUAUUAAAGGAAAUAUAGGCCUCUGCUUUAUAGGCUUACAAUGAAACCAAACACUUAAACAAGUAAAGACAGCAUCUGAAACAUAGUAAGUGUUCAAUAAAUAUUAGCUAUAAUUAUCUAAUUCCCAUAGACUCUCAGAUCUCUAGGAUUAUGUGCUUGGACCCUAAUUUGAGAAAUCCUUACCUACCCACUGGAUGUAGUUUAACUGGAUCCUCUAUUUUCUUUCUCUGAACAACUGAAUACCCUAAAUACGAGUAAACAGGAGACAAGGAAGGGAGGGUUUGGGGUUCUUUUCUGGAGCUGUGGGAAAGUGUAGGGUAAGGCAGGUCUUGAUGUAUGAAGCAAAAAGGAGGCUCUGAGGAAAUAUGAAGGUGCAGAAGAGGUAACACUAACAGGCUGGAGGAGUUUACAGAAAUGGAAGAGGGAGGAGGCCUAGAAGGCAAGCUUGGCCUGCAUUCAGCCCAGCCCGCGCUUCACUUUUAAAGAUGACAGGCAUCAUGCCUGAAUUAAUAAUACAGCCUCCUCCUCAUGAAAACUUGCUGUUGAAUCAUCAUUCCACGGUAGGCUACAACAUAUAAAUACCCUCUGGAGUUCCUGGCAUUGCUGUCACUGGCUGGGAACAAGGCUGCUUCCUAGCUUACCACUUACAAUGUUGUGAAACAAGUGGUUGCUGUCCACUGUAAGAUUCUUGAAAUUGUUAGUUUAUUUAGUGAAAACUUCAGUAAUUUCUUCUGUUCACAUUUUGCGGUUUCCCUGUUGCACCUCUCAUUCACCAAGUUCUUGCUUUAGUAUAUCCAACCCAGAAGGCCUGGCCCAAUUCAAGUUGUAGCAAGUAAAUUGCUGCUUCAAAAUAAAAGUGACAAAAUUUAUUAGAGAAAUUAAAGAAGGUUUAAAUAAAAGGAAGGAAAUAGUUUGAAAAACUCAAUAGUAUAAGAUGUCAGCUGUCAUCAAAUGUCAGGAUCUUUCUGAGAAAAAGAACCAAGAGGAUAUACAGAGACAUAGAAAGAGAUUUAUUAUGAGGGAUGGCCUCACGAAGUUAUGGAGGCUGAGAAGUUUCAGGAUGUGCUAUUAGUGGGCUGGAAGCCCCCAGUACCUGAUAGCAUAGUUCUGGCCCCAAGCUUAAAGUUCUUGAAAAACAGGGAUCCCAGUGAUGUAAGUCCCAGUUGAGGUCCAAAGGCCCAAGAACCAGAAGUGCCAAUAUCCAAGAGCAAGGGAAGGUAGAUGGCUGGUGACUUGGAUGGUGCCCACUCACGUUAGUCUACUGAUCCAAAUGGCAGUCUCCUUAUGGAACACACACACACACACAGUAUUUUACCAGUUGUCUGAGGGUCCCUUAGCCCAGUGGAGUUGACACACGAAACUUAACUGCCAUACCAAAACAAUCCAUAAAGUCUUGGUGAUCCCAAUAAAAAUCCCAACUGUAUUAUGUGUGUAUGGAAAUUGUCAAACAGAUACCAAAAUUCAUAUGGAAAUGCUGGUAGAUAAACCAUGAGAAAGAGCAUAGUCCCUUGAGUUUAAAUUCUUACUCUAACACUACUGUAUCAAAUUAGCAAGCUACUUAAUAGUCCAAGCCCUGUGUGUGUCGGGGGGAUGUUUCUCUUAAAAUCUAUCUGGCACGAGAAUAAAAUGAGACAAUGUAUGUAAAAGACAUACAUACUACCUAACAUGCAAUAGAUGCUCACUGAUAGGUAGUAUUAGAAGUAUUAUGACUAAGAAAUUAGUGUUAGCACAGUAAACAGUAUACCUAGAUGUGUCUGAGACCCAUAGCCUUAAAGCUAAAAGAAAGAGAACCCACCUGGGUGUGGUGGCGCAGGCCUGUGAUCCUGGAACUCAGGGGGCUGAGGCAGGAGGAUCACCAUGAGUUUGAUGGCAGCCUUGGCUGCAUAGUGAGUUCAAGAGCAGCCUGAACUACAUAGCAAGACCCAAGACUAUUUUGAAACAAUGAGAGAGAGAGAAUAUGACUAUGAAUCCAACUAGGAUCCAACUCCCUGCAAUCUAGCUGACCAGUUUAUCCAGGAACAAUACUGGAUAUAUAAAUUUUGGAGCCAUCAGCAUUUGAUUAUUAUUUAAAACUACAGAACUGGUCAAGUAUCUAGUCAAGUAUGGGUGUGUCUAGAUGUCCCCCAAAGACUCAUGUAUUCAUAGGUGGGGCUUUUUGGAGGUGGCUGGAUCUAUGCUGUGUGAAUAUGGAUUAAGGAUGUGAUAACUAAAUUGGUUUAGUAUAGCUCUGGGUAUAGAUAUUGGAAGCCCCACCGUGGGCAUGUCGGGCACCAAUCAAUAGGCUUGUUGCCUGGAUGGAAUAUAAAGGAACAGAAAGAAGUCAGGCUCACUGCUUGCUGACUCCUGCCUGCCUUGUCAAGGACUGUUUCUCCUCUCUGCAAUGCUACCCUGCUUUGGAGCCAGUGAACUAUGGACUGAAGCCUCUACAGUGAACAAGAAUAAACCUUUCCUCCUUUAACUUGUGUCUUAGUUAAGACAUUCCUAGCAAUGUAUAAAGGGAGAGAUGGGAGACCCUGAGUCAGACUCUAGGAUUCUUCAUGGCUAAGAGGUCUCAAGAGGCAGAGGAGGUACUGGGGUGGGGGGAACCAAAGAACAGUGAUGUUUACCCUCCUCUUUGUACUCACCAUUAGAAAUACCUGGAAUGACAUCAACCUGGUGUCAUACUGCUCAUUUGUUGCUAUAUUAGAUGAUUUUUACAACUUUUUCCUUUGCACUUGUCUCUCUUGCUUGAAUUAUUCAUCAUAAGUAUAUGUGAUUUAAGAAGAACAAACCCUUUACCCUAAAGAACUAAGGAAUGCCUUUGGUAUGGAAGCACCUGAAUAAAUAUUGAACACUCAGUCUCUUCUCCUGGAUCCUUUGCAUUCCUCGACAUCAGGUGCUUAACACUGCCUCUCAUUCUCACCUUGUAGCACUUUGUUUUUAAAGACCUCAGCUGCAUGUUGGAAAAUGCCAAUCAGGGCAAGAAAUGGUAUCUCAUGAAAGCAGGAUGAAAAGGAAGGAAGGAGCCAUCAGUCGGAGCUCAGGCUGAUGUGCUCAAUUUCAGAUGCCAUAAGCAAUGCGUGUCUAUCUGCCUGUAAAUGUACCUGUACUCAAAGCUGUGACUGUCUCAUUGCCUAACAUAAAAGGCACACACACACAUCCACCUUCCUAACCCUUUGAGGGCCAUAUUUGUUCAUUUCCCCCUUCCAGUCUGCCCUGGGGAGGGAUUUUGAUCAAGGUAAUAAUACUAAAGAAAGCUAUGAAGUGCCUUCUCUUCAAACUUUAAACUCAAAGUCUUAGUGAGACUUCCAAGUGUUUAGAGGCAAAAAGUACUGUUUUUGAAUAAUGACUCCAACUUUAAGCCCAGAAGAAAGGUCAGUGGAAGGAUUUGAAUGUUCUUGUUUGUUUUGUAAGGAAAAUGAGAUAGCAGUGCCGACUUUUCUGAACACUUUCUCAAAGGGACUUAACACAUCAUCUCCUAACACAUAUUUGAAUUCCACAUUCAAACACUGUGCACCAGUCAUCAAGCUAGACACUAGGAGUAUAAAAAUGAGAAGACACUGUGUAGCCAGAUUCUCUAGUUAGGGCCUAAUAUUGUUAAUGCCACAAAUUACUGCUGUCCAAAACUAUUCAUUUCUCAGAACACAAGAGGAUUCUUCUUACCUGCCCCCUUGAAGUUAGAGCUGAC